AUUACGACCCCACUAUAUAGGGCGAAUGGCGACGUCGCAUGCUCUGCGCCAUGGCCGCGCGGAAAUUCGAUAGGAGUUUGAUCAUGGCCCAGGACGAACGCCUGGCGGCGCGCCUUUCAACAUGCAAGUCGAACGAGAGCCCCGGGCUUGCCCGGGGGGACAGUGGCGAAUGGGAGAGUAACACGUGAGGAACCUGCCCCGAAGACCGGGACAACACCGGGAAACCGGUGCUAAUACCGGAUGUCCUCGCUGGAUCGCAUGGUCCAACGAGGAAAUGGAUUCCGCUUCGGGAUGGCCUCGCGGCCUAUCAGCUAGUUGGUGAGGUAAUGGCUCACCAAGGCGACGACGGGUAGCUGGUCUGAGAGGAUGUCCAGCCACACUGGGACUGAGACACGGCCCAGACUCCUACGGGAGGCAGCAGUUUGGAAUCUUGCACAAUGGGCGAAAGCCUGAUGCAGCGACGCCGCGUGCGGGAUGAAGGCCUUCGGGUCGUAAACCGCUUUCAGCAGGGACGAAAUUUACGGUUCCUGCAGAAGAAGCCCCGGCCAACUACGUGCCAGCAGCCGCGGUAAUACGUAGGGGGCAAGCGUUGUCCGGAUUUAUUGGGCGUAAAGAGCUCGUAGGCGGUUUGGCAAGUCGGAUGUGAAAUCUCCAGGCUCAACCUGGAGGGGUCAUCUGAUACUGCUAUGACUAGAGGUCGGUAGGGGAGUGUGGAAUUCCUGGUGGAGCGGUGAAAUGCGCAGAUAUCAGGAGGAACACCCGUAGCGAAGGCGGCACUCUGGGCCGAUACUGACGCUGAGGAGCGAAAGCGUGGGGAGCGAACAGGAUUAGAUACCCUGGUAGUCCACGCCGUAAACGUUGGGCCCUAGGUUUUCGGUUCUAUCGACGGACUCCGUGCCGUAGCUAACGCAUUAAGUGCCCCGCCUGGGGAGUACGCACGCAAGGCUAAAACUCAAAGGAAUUGACGGGGGCCCGCACAAGCGGCGGAGCAUGUGGCUUAAUUCGAAGCAACGCGAAGAACCUUACCAGGCCUUGACAUCCAAUGAAUCUGCUAGAGAUAGCGGAGUGCCUUCGGGAACAUUGAGACAGGUGCUGCAUGG
rnacentral:rRNA from 1 species